CACCUGCCCCUACUUCACAGAAGUGCUGGGGUCCACCAACCAGAGACCACAAGAGACGCACCAGACACCAGACAGAACAGGCUCCCUGGACUGAGCUCCUUCACAGAGCCCUUCUGCACCCAUGGGGACCAUAGCCCAGAUCUCUGGAAACCUAACACCAUUCUGGUGACCCUGGACCUGCAGCAGUGCCUCACAUCACCAAAUACGUUCAGGUCCUGAUCUUAGGAUCCCGGGAUCAAGCCCCAC